rnacentral:misc_RNA from 1 species
AAAAAAAAAAAAAAAAAAAAAAAAACAACUAUACUCUUAUCACAGGACAUAGCCUUUCCAACUAGCAAUUCUGCAGAAACAUUAAGUUAUCCCUAUCUUUUGUGAACCAAAGCCCGCGCACAAAGCAACAGAUGAUUCAUCUUCGUGACAAUAUAGUCUGGAAAUUAGAAUUCCAAUGUCCGAGCAUCCAAACAAUAUUCUUUCCAAUGAUACAGGAGGUAAACUAAUGCUGAAGUAUAGAACUACACCUACAAUCGUACACAUGAUACCAUGACAAACAAACCCUACAUCUAAAACUCCAUUUUCACAAGUCCAUUUGAAACUUCAACAGAUCCAUACUGAAGCCAGUCCUUGGCACACACCAGCGCUUCUACUGUCUCCGGUCGCAGAGAACUACGGUACUGAUCCAGCUCUUUGUUCACAGUAUCAAAUACAGAGUCUGGAGCAGCUGUCGAUACUGGAAUNNNNNCUCGGGCCAUCUUUGAAAGGGUUGGGUAUUUCAACUUGUUCAGUUUCCACCAACUUAACACAUCAAACUCUUGCACACGGGGCAAUAAUGACUCUUCCAAGUACUGAUCCAGUUCUGACUUCAUCUGCUGGCUAGUAGUCUCCAUGAUGAACAUAUCAAAAUCUGUGAGUCCAUUGUCUGACAGGAGGGUUCCCUGGUGGUCCUCUGUCCUCAUGUUGUUCUCAGUAUUUCCUUCAUCAGCAUAAGUUGGAGUUAGAGGCAAAGGAAGGGCCACAUA